CCGCCGCCCCCAUCCUCCUCGUCCGCCGCCGCCGCCCCAUCCUCCCCGUCCGCCGCCGCCGCCGCCCCAUCCUCCCUGUCCUUCGCCCCCGCCACCAUCCUCCGUUUCCGUCGCGCCGUCGCGGGUCUCCUCGCGCAAGCGCAGGACCUCCGCCAAGGCCGCGCCCGAGGCCGACCGCGGGGCUCCUCGGGCAAGCGCACGACCUCCGCCAAGGCCGCGCCCGAGGCUGACCAGGAGGCCACGGUCACCAAGCGCCCGCACAAGGGAACCACGUCGGGGAAGAAGAAGUCGGCGCCCAAGUCCGUUGCUGCUGCACGCCCUCUCUAGCCGCCUCUCAUCGUCCUCGCGCUCGGCAGAAGGAGGACGAGGACGUUGAGCGGACAUGGGCUAUCACUCUCUCCGCGGGCGAGCUCGAGCGCUACGGCAUUAGCGAGGACCUCCGCGAGUUCGUCAACGGCAUGACCGUAAUCAUCUUCCGUGACUUCCCCCUUGCAAGAUGAGUUGGAGCUGUCGGAUGUGUCCACGGUGUUGAAUGUGCCUCAGCAUCUGAACGAAUGGCACGCCAGGCAUACCACUCACGUCCUCUCGCCCGUCAGGAUUUUGUUUCCAUUAACCAUUUCAGUCAUGGGAGAUUUGGUUUACGUGGCUCUCCAUCGAUGGAAUGCCGAUGAAUGCACAUAUGAACAUACAUACAUAGUUCUGUUUUGCUUUAGAAUUCAGUGUCAGGUACCAUCCCUCCAUGAGGUUUUAUCCAGUGUCUUUCUCUUUCCUUAAUAAUUGUUGCACUUUUGAUUGAAGAAAACUUCAUGGAGGUUGCUGAUUUGGAGCUCAGCUAGGGAUGCUCUGAAUUUCAUGGUUGUUGCUUGAUGUGGAAUAUGCAACUGGAACCGGCGACCAGCCCUUCCUCGCCCUCAGCCUCGACACCACCACUGACACCUCCAGGAGCAGUGGGGCAUCGCCGGCAAGGCAAUGGUUGUGGUUAGGCUUUACUGCUAGGUUCCUCACAGUUGUAGCUGUUGGGGAACACUGCUAUGCUCGCUGUCCGGUGGUGGGGUUUGGGCAUGCGACUGGUGCUCCUUCGGAUUGGCAUGGAUGCCUCCGCGCUCGGAGUCUGCUGUAUCUACGGGUUCCUAGGUUUUAUAUGGCCCAUUGUAUAAGAUGCAGUUUGGAUUAUUAAUCUGGAACAACUAUAUCAUGGAGGUGUUGUUUAAGGUUCCCUUGCUAAUUUUAUCUUAAGCUGCAGUUCUGCAUCUUUGGUUCAACGCUGCAUCGCUCAGUUCGUUUGCUUGGUUCCUUUGCUCGGCUCAGGAGGUUAGGAGACCAUCAACCAUAAGGAGGAGGAAUAACAAAGAAGUUCAGAAGCCAAGGACCAUCUUCAACCUGAUUUUAGGCAUCCUCAAGUAAAGGUAAAACUUCAUAUUUGAGGGCACCAACAAUUUAUUACCUGAAUAAAAAAAGGUUCUUUGCUUGAAUAUGUAUCUCUCUGGUACAUGUUGAGAAAGGAUAAAAUUAGAAAGGGAAAAGAGGACCCUAAGGUUUUUAAUAUCAUCUUAUGGUUGCUUCGAGGCCACAGUUGAGUGAGAGAGAGAAAGAGAGGGAGGGAGGGAGGGAGGUUUUCAGUGUGUUCCUGACUAUUCCAUUUUUUCAGCAAGAUGGACUCUCUUGACUCUUUUACGUCAGAGUAGUGACUAAUACAUCAUAUUGUUUCUCACGAAGUAAAAACUAAAGUCCGUGUAUAUGCGUUGGAUGCAAGCAAUUGUUUAGCUUCCUGUACUUCUUUUGAAAUACCAAAAGCUUGAUCAGUAUCUGAGAUAGGUACCACGUGUCAAGGCGCGCUUCCGAUCUUGCCUGCGGUAGUUAUUACCUUCAAUGGAGCUGACUUUUUUUAAUACCAUAGGUGUUGCUACUUUUUUGCUAACAUGAAUGUCCUUUGUAUCAAACGCAAUCUACUGGAUUAUUUGUAUGAUUACCUGUUGGGAAAAUCUGAGAGUGUUCUUUAUGUAGAAGCUUGAGGUGGCACAAAGGUCAAUAGGCGGCAUUUCAGUAGAGCUUGAUCCUGUGGAUUCUCCUGAACUGCAGCUUACUGAUAAAACAGAGCUUUCUAUGCUUGAAAGGGUUCUGCCAAUUUACAAGACCCAUAUGCGGCUCUCUCUGCAAAUUGCCUAUUUAGCAAGGUUGGAAAAAGCGGUAGGCGUAAGCGAGGCGGUUGGCCUUUGCCUAGUGCCCAGGCAGUGCUUAAGCGCACUAGGCGUGGCCUAGGCGGUAAUAUAGCUUCUACUAUCAGGGUUAUUGGGGGUAUUAUAUGUGUAUUGAUGUUAAUUUAGGGCAGAUAAAUAAGUUAACUACCAGCUACUACCAUUUGAAUGUGUCAUAUUUGGCAUUUAGUGCAAUAUGACAUGAUUUCUCGCUUGGGUAAACAAUUUGUUGCUUACCCUGCCUAGACUUCCAUUUAUGCCCUAGGUGAGGCGUUUGGCCAUCGCCUAGCGCCUAGGCGUGCCUAAGCGCCUCCUAGGCACUGCCUUUUCCAACAGAGCUAUUUAGUAUUCCAAAUUUCAGUCAACUAUCAUACUGGAGAAGCGGCGGCGGAUAUUUAUUCAUGUUGGAUUUGUACAGUUACGGAAUUGUUGAUUUAAGCUUUAAAAUCCACUCCCUCUGGUGCUCCUCGCACGCAUGUCUGCGCCUCCCUCCUCCUCCCCAUCGGGACCAGGCAGGGGGAGGAGGAGCGCGGGCCACAGAGACGACAUGGUGACCGAGCUUAUUGUGGCGCCGUCGCCGUUCCUUUGGACGCGGUAGAAGGUGCGCCGGCAACAGAGAGAGAAGAGGAGGUCCAGCCAUCCGCGGUGCUGUCGCCACCGUCCACAACGAGAUGCUCAUCCUGCUGCUCCACAACAUGGCAGUGUGCAGCUUGCAGAGGCAGACUUCGGGUUGGCAUGGUCGUGCUCCCUCCUCCUAGCUUUUCCGCUUCAGGGAUGAGAGGGCUUUCUAACUGUAAUGAUGUUCUAGCUAGGAGAAGACAAACUUGCAAACAUAAGAGCCAGAUGAUUUUUUAGGGAAGGCCCAUGGCAAGGCGGAUAAAGAUGACGGCCCAUGAUGAAUGAUUGGGAAUAAAGGAGCAUGAUGAAGUGUUUGGCCGGAUGGUGCAUGGUGAUCCAUUGCCUGUGCUAGCUUAUAAGGGGUGCAAAUGACUAGCUGAACUAGAAGACACUGUACUGAUAAUGAUGCUAAAUUGUCCAUGCCUCCAGAGUUAAAAUUUUACUCUUACACGUGCCAUGAAGGAACUGGAAUGUCUAUGUAUUUGUGUUUCAGCAAGCAUGGUUGACCUAUGUAUUUUUGGUCAGCUUGGAUUGUUGCACAUCUUUUUUUUAAUAGCCAAUACAAUUUUAAGGAAGCCUUAGAAGGAGGAGCUGUAUGCAAUUUUUGUAUCUUUUGUCAGUCUUGAAUGGUCCGAUGAAGAUCUUGGUCGUCUUGCUGUAUGCGCGUGAAAGGAUGGUGUUCGUGAGCUAUAUCAUGGAAAAUAUUUUUUGGAAUGCCUCUACUGCCUCCUUCAUGUCCUCCGGGGUGAUGCAAAUCAAUAUCUUGCUCUGGCUAUGCUGCGCAGUGGCCUAAGCGUUGAACCAUGGGGUUGGAUAGGGCAAGCGUGUGGCAGGGUUCUGUGUCGCUGCUCCGCAGAGGAGCACACCAUCGAGAUGGCCUAAGCAUUGAACUACCAUAUUAUGCACUACUGUUGGGCCAAUUGAUGCUAGGUGUACAUUAAGAUGUUUCAAAAAAAUAGAUCCUUGAUGCUGGACAUAGUGCAAUGGUCCUCACAUCACAACACCCGAGCGAGUCUGGCAAGGCUUGCUCGCCAUGGCCUACCACAUCGGCGAGACAGGGUGAGCACGUGAUCACCAUCAGCACGUCCUUCGUCACAACACCCGAGCGAGCAAGAUGUUCAGACAAAGUUAUAUGAUACACUGCUAUCGACAUCUGUUGUAGAUGAACAGUAAAUAUCGUUUCUCUUCACAAGCAUUAGGACUUGAUUUUGGUAAAUCAUGUUACCAUUUCUGUGACCUCGGCAUUUGGAAGACAUGCCAUCCGAAUCGUCUAUCAUAACUGAACCAUUACUAUCACAAGCAUCUUACUUUUAGAAAUUCAUAUGAUGGUUCAGUUGUCUA